UACGUAGGGCGCGAGCGUUGUCCGGAAUUAUUGGGCGUAAAGAGCUCGUAGGCGGCUUGUCACGUCGGGUGUGAAAGACCGGGGCUUAACUCCGGUUCUGCAUUCGAUACGGGCUAGCUAGAGUGUGGUAGGGGAGAUCGGAAUUCCUGGUGUAGCGGUGAAAUGCGCAGAUAUCAGGAGGAACACCGGUGGCGAAGGCAGCUUGCUGGGACGGUACUGACGCUGAGGCGCGAAAGCGUGGGGAGCAAACAGG
rnacentral:rRNA from 1 species